UACGUAGGUGGCAAGCGUUGUCCGGAUUUAUUGGGUUUAAAGGGUGCGUAGGCGGUUCUAUAAGUCAGUGGUGAAAUCCGGCAGCUCAACUGUCGAUGUGCCAUUGAUACUGCAGAACUUGAGUACAGACGAGGUAGGCGGAAUUCCCGGUGUAGCGGUGAAAUGCGUAGAGAUCGGGAGGAACACCAGUGGCGAAGGCGGCUACCUGGACCAGCACUGACACUGAGGCACGAAAGCGUGGGGAGCAAACAGG
rnacentral:rRNA from 1 species